AAUCGUCAGUGAAAUAUACAUAUAAGAAGCGGCCACCGGGAGGCCCGCCCGUCAUACUGAAUUUGACGCUAUACCUGCUAUACGUCGCCCGUGUCAGCUGAACCAGCGAUUGACGACUUCAGACGCCAUGCCUACCACUUCACCGACUCCUUUCACCGCCGGGUUCAAGGCUGUGAGGCAUGCUCGAAGCUUUGCGGUCGCGGCUACUCCAGUUAUGACCUCAACUUCUGCAAGCGCAGUUACCAGGCUAGCACGACCCAUUGGUGCUCCUGGAAUGCAUAUGCUACGCCCGGCGGCCAUUUCAUCCCUUCUCACGCAUGAGGUGUCACGCUUGACGCAAACGCAUCCGUUGCUGUUUUAAGUCACCCAUGCAGUCAAGUUUCAUUUUGUGCGCGCCUGGAUAACGAAAUGACUGCGCCAUUCAACCGGAGGACAACGAAGCAACUGUCGUCGCCACGUGCCUCCCAGCUAACCUACAAGGUGAAUCCCGUGCAACCACGUGGUCGUGAAACUACCCCGGGGAACAACGCAACCACGUGACCGUGGCACUUCUCCGAGGGACAACGGAGCAACCGUCAUCGCUACGUUCGAUCUUCGGCAGUUAUAUUCAUCAGGUGCGAUUCUAGCUUGCCAGGGUGGCGCGGCUAAUAAAUCAACUAAUUGGCAAUGUUAAUUGUUUUAAACUGAUUGGCAAAAGAGGGGCCGCUGCCACAUUGGGUCGUCGUCGUGACGCAAGCGGAGAGGACUGGGCGGGGCGAUUGUAGCUUUAGGCUUAGCUAACACUAGGAAGGGUAGCUCGCGCUGCGAAGGCUCCAGCUGGCAGGGGUCCUCUCUCGUUUGCGACACGGACGUCGGCCCAUUCCGAGUGCUAUUGCUUCCCGGUCAUAAGUUCGCGUGUCGGCGCGCGCGAAAUGUGGAAGUAAAUUGCACCCGGAAUUAAUUAGUGUCAGGUUUCUUCCAGCAAAACAGAAGAAGAACGGACGUUGCCUACGGUCUGCAGCGCGGCGCGCUGCAGCGAAGACGGUGGUGGGUGGCCGCAUUCUUUUUUUUGUCUUCCGUAUGUUCUCGUCACUAUUGCUGUGUCACGCCGUGCUUUCGUCGCUUGACAAGCCAACCAUCGUGGACUAGUCCCAUCGCCCACUCCAGCGCGAUGACGCUUGGUGAGUACGUGCUUUCUGGCUACUUUCGUCAUUUAACGAGUGUCACCCCCCCCCCCUUUUUUUUAGGUUUCAGAUCUGCAACCUGUGCCUUGGCCCCUGGCACAUGUUCCUGCACCCGGCCGUGUCUCGCACCGAUCACGUUCAGCACCCGCCUGUCGUCCAGCAGCUGAUCGGGACUUCACUUCUGGUGUCCUGGUGAAUGAGGAUGCCUGCAAUCUCCGUGCUGCAGCAUGUCGACCACACUCCGCAUCCUUUGGUGCCAGACGCACGCGACGGAUUUUCCUGCACCCGGCCCUCUCUCGCACAGAUGAUGUUCAGCACCUGUCGUCCCACGGCUCAUCGUGUCACUUCUGUUCCUGCCUCAUUGCUAUUGGUGUCCUGCUGAAUGAAGAUGCUUGCAAUUGCUGUGCUGCAGAACGUUGACUGCAUUCUGCAACCCUUGUCUCGACAUCUGCCGUCCAUCAAGGUCUCUCCCACGAGCGUAGUAGGCAAUGACACCAAUUGCAGACCGUAGGGGGGUAGGCGUUUCUCUCGCCACUCAUCGCAUUGCUGCUCCUGAAAACGUCGUGCUGCAGGAAACGUUCUUCGCUGCCUCGACGAGGCCACACAACUAUGAAGUCCCAAGAAAGAGCGCGACGUCGCGUGACAUGAAUGCUCAUCUAACUUCCCGGUUGGAGUGAUUCGUUCCACCCUAUCGAAGAUGACGGCCACUUGAUGAAGUCGCAUGUUAUUCAGUGGCUGUGACCGAAUGACGUGCGUACCCAGGUAACAUGCUGCUCUAGCUCAUCCUAGUGGUACACUGCUCAGACUCUAGCAUUGGGUUGAUGUGGGGGAUUCUUGCUUGUUAUGUUCAUUGGCAUUUUGUGCUUUUGUGAUGGUACAACGAUGCUGCUUUGCGCUUCCGA